rnacentral:misc_RNA from 1 species
CAUAUACUGCACGCACACACAGAUCUGUCCGCACACCGCCAUUCUCUCGCGUCGGCGGCACGCCGCCCCUACUCGUUCUUCGCGAGAGAUGCUCUUCACUAAUAAGGCGCUGUCUCGUCCUAUUCGACCCUUCCUGCACGCUGCAGCGCCGACUAACAUCAAGUGACAGGGAUAGGAGGGAAGACACCUGACUUAGAGCCCUCCGUAUGGCGUCGCCGUCACCCGCCUUGCUCAGUGCGUCUCUCCCCCCUCUCUCUCACGUGCCGGGCGUCUCGCCAUUGAAGUCUGCGCCGCUUAGCCAUAGCUUGGCUGCUGUGUGCCCUUCUUCCGUCUCGACCGCCCCCUCCCCUCUAUUCCGUACUGCGUCUGAAGCGUAAAGAAGACACGCACACACGCAGACACACAAAAGAAAACGCGCUGCAGCACGUGGGCGUAUGUGCGUUAGGGAUUGGGACACUCGAUGGGGCGGGGCACACACGUGGAGGGGCGAAUGUGACGCAGCGCAUCCACGCAUCCUCCACUUCUCCCAUGCCUCGUGCUCCCUGCGUUGCUGUGCUUUCCUUUGGUAACCUGCUGCUCUUAAAG